CUGGAGCUUGUCGUGGAUCUCGACGCUCAGGCGCCGUCGCGUCUCACGGAAUUCGGCUCGGACAUUUGCUUUCCAUUCAGCUGCAUCAAUAUGUCACUGUCUGCCCUCUCUGGACUCUGUAAAACCACUACAGUCUCCUCACUUUGAACAAUAGCUGCCUGCACUCGAAGCCAGUCUCCGAUCAUGCUGAGGACAGCCGCAAAGUACGCCAAGCCCACCAGGAUCCAGAACCAGAC